rnacentral:rRNA from 1 species
CAACCCCUGUGACAUACCACUUGUUGCCUCGGCGGAUCAGCCCGCUCCCGGUAAAACGGGACGGCCCGCCAGAGGACCCCUAAACUCUGUUUCUAUAUGUAACUUCUGAGUAAAACCAUAAAUAAAUCAAAACUUUCAACAACGGAUCUCUUGGUUCUGGCAUCGAUGAAGAACGCAGCAAAAUGCGAUAAGUAAUGUGAAUUGCAGAAUUCAGUGAAUCAUCGAAUCUUUGAACGCACAUUGCGCCCGCCAGUAUUCUGGCGGGCAUGCCUGUUCGAGCGUCAUUUCAACCCUCAAGCACAGCUUGGUGUUGGGACUCGCGUUAAUUCGCGUUCCUCAAAUUGAUUGGCGGUCACGUCGAGCUUCCAUAGCGUAGUAGUAAAACCCUCGUUACUGGUAAUCGUCGCGGCCACGCCGUUAAACCCCAACUUCUGAAUGUUGACCUCGGAUCAGGUAGGAAUACCCGCUGAACUUAAGCAUA